CCUCAAAUCAGGUAGGACUACCCGCUGAACUUAAGCAUAUCAAUAAGCGGAGGAAAAGAAACUAACAAGGAUUCCCCUAGUAACUGCGAGUGAAGAGGGAAGAGCUCAAAUUUAAAAUCUGUCAGUCUUUGGCUGGCCGAGUUGUAAAUUAGAGAAGUGCCUAUCUGCGCUGGCCUGUGCAAAAGUCUCUUGGAAAAGGGCAUCAUAGAGGGUGACAAUCCCGUCUUUGGUACAGAGCUCCAGGGCUUCAUGAUGCGCUCUCGAUGAGUCGAGUUGUUUGGGAAUGCAGCUCUAAAUGGGUGGUAAAUUCCAUCUAAAGCUAAAUGUUGGCGAGAAACCGAUAGCGCACAAGUACCGUGAGGGAAAGAUGAAAAGAACUUUGAAAAGAGAGUUAAACAGUACGUGAAAUUGUUGAAAGGGAAACGCUUGAAGUCAGUCGUGUCCUUCAGAAAUCAACCUGACCUUGGUCUGGCUUACUUUCUGGUGGAUGGGUCAGCAUCAAUUUUGAUCAUUGGAUAAAGGCUUUGGGAAAGUGACAUCUCCGGAUGUGUCAUAGCCCUUGGUUCAUAUACAGUGGUUGGGAUUGAGGAACUCAGUGUGAACUUGGGGCUUUGGCCCUACACGACGC
rnacentral:rRNA from 1 species